rnacentral:rRNA from 1 species
GACAGAGGUGCCGAGCGUUAGGCGGAAUCACUGGGCUUAAAGCGUGUGUAGGCGGACUUCUAAGUACCUUGUGAAAUCCCACGGCUCAACCGUGGAACUGCUCGGUAUACUGGUCGUCUUGAGCCACCUAGGGGCGAGCGGAACAAGCGGUGGAGCGGUGAAAUGCGUAGAUAUCGCUUGGAACGCCAACGGUGAAAACAGCUCGCUGGGGGUGUGCUGACGCUGAGACACGAAAGCCAGGGGAGCGAAC